ACAUAGGAUGCCGGUUUUCCUCCUCUACAUCUGUGCAUUCCUGUUCGAUGUUGCUGGCGUGAAGAAUUAUGGAAGGCGUGGCUUGGUGUAUUUUGUGAAUCUGAUGAAAACCAGAGGUGGGAUUCAAGAGAUAUGCAGGAUUAUGUGGUUGCCUGGCUAUAUCUCUCCCUAUGAUGAUGGAUUGAACUGGUCAUGAGGCUCAGGUCCUUGCGCAUGCAUGAGAAUGAGACCGCAUCCCCUUGGGUACUUCCUGGAUGGGCAUGUAUCGAAUCAGACUUCUAGAGAUUUGCAAAGGAUUUUGUUCAGUUUGAGGGAUUCAGUGUAGUAGCGCCUCAUCCAAACAAGCCUUUGUUCGGGCGUAGAAUAUGGGAGCCCCAGUCUGUAAUAUAUAUAUUUGCUACAAGUUCUCGUCUGUACAAGCCACCAUAUGUAGUAUCUAACUUAUCUUAGAUGAAUA
rnacentral:lncRNA from 1 species